CUUUCAGACUGUGGCGCCUGCAGAAGGAGCUGCUGAGCAAAGAGGAAGCCAGGCUUUUGGAAGCCCGUGCUCUGCUGGAGAAGAAAAAGCUACAAAACAUUUUCUGGAUGUGGCAUUCCCAAAGCUUGGAAAUGAAAAAGAUUCUAACACUGACAACUCGAAUCCAAAGAAACUUGGUCUCCCGGUGCUUCAGUACAUGGAAGGAGACUGUUGAGCAGAAGGCACUUCACAGGUGCAAUCUGGCCCAUCUCAGAGCAGUAUCACUGAGGAGGCACUUCCAGCAGUGGGUUGGGAUGCUGCAGGUCAGAAGAAGUGAUAAGCAGGCAGUGCUGAACCUCUUCCUCCUGCAGUGGAGGCAGCAUUAUGGUGAGCAGUUUGGGCUCUGUGCAGAAUCUAAACUUGAGAUGUGCUUAGGCUCCUUCCUCCUCUUGCACACUGAAAACAGAGGGGCUCAGAUGAUACAGGGUGUGAACAAACCAGGGUGGGCAGAGGACUGGUUCUGGGUGUGUCAGUGAAGCUACAGGGAGGUGUGUUGCUCUGCAUCAUAAACCAAACAUAAACUCUUAAACCUUGCUGAAAAGAAGCAAUUUGAGGGUUGGGCUGGGCUGAGUUGGAAUGCCUUCAGACAAUCUCUUGUUCCUUUAUGUAACUGGUUAAGGAGCAGUUGUGGGCUCAGCAGCUGACAAGAAUGUGACAAAGAGGCAUGAAUGUCAGAUAUGGACGGGAGAGAAACAGUUUCUGGAGAAAACUGUGUGUUCUUUUGAUGACUUCUGCCAAAAACUGAAGCUGCAGAGAGUAUAUCUGCUGUGGAAAACAAGGCUCUGUGAGCAUCACAAGGCUGAGUGAGUGCAGAAGAGCCAGUCCCUGGAGCCCUGCCCCCAUUAGUAGUGUCCACUUGAUUUUCUGAACCUUUUGCUAGAGCCCCUUUUACCCUGUCUAUUGUCCAUCAUGUCUGUGCUAGUCACCCCCUCUGGUGUUCUUCUUUCACUUCACUGUCUCAGUAUCUUCUGUCUCAGCUCUUUCUCUCAGACUUUGGAGCAGUGUAAACUCAGAAAAACUCUGAAAUUAUGGCACCAAAAGUAUCUCAUGCUGAAGACAAUUGAACAAAGUUCUAAGCACUUGCACAGAGCUGUCUAUGAGGAACCUCUUGCCAUGCUGUUUUCUGAGGACCUCUCAACAUCAUCUGGCUUUGACAGCAGUGCACCAGCUACUCUGACCUCUCAGAGCUCAUUGGAAAAGGAAUGCAGUCUUAGUGACAGCAGCCAGCAUGGCUUCUCCUCCCCUGUGACUGCUGAGGAUGUCACACAUGUGUCAUGCCACAGUUCUUUCCUUCAGCUCCACCAGUGCACAGAGCUGCCAGCUGAGCUGUGCUUGCAGAGCUCCUUCCCUGCAUCUGGAAGAAAUUGGUUUGUGGGAAAUCAGUUCCAGUCUUAUAAUUCCCAGCCUCUCACCAGUUACUCUGCAUGGGAAGAGGAUUACACCUCUGACAACUCAGUGAGGAGUUGCUGGCAGCAAGCAGAGCAGCACUGCCUGCAGAGGUGCUUCAUUGUGUGGUCAGCUCAAACUCAACACCAUGUGAAGGCCCAGCAGCACUGCAGGCGUGUUCGGCUGUCUCGAGCCUUUCUCAGCUGGCACCAGUGGGUCAUGGAAAAUAAGAACCAAGAAGCAGCAGCAGCCCUAAAACAUGGAGUUCAUUGUGUCCAGGUGGCUUUCAGCCUGUGGAAAAGGAGACUGGCCCAGAAAGUGGAAGCUGAGCGGAGAUUCAGGUGUCAUGCUCACCAGAUGACUGCUGAUGCUCUGUGGCAUUGGCACUCCUGCUGGCAAAGGAGGCGUGCUCUGGCAGAGCUGCAGCAGCAAUGGGCCUGGCACAGCUGCCAGGAGAAGAAGAGGCUGGUCCUGCACACAUGGUAUGGCCAAACAAGGAAGCAGAAAUAUGCUGUUUUGUUCUGGGAACGUUUUCUCCUGCACAGGUGCCUUGUCUCUUGGGCCCAGGUCACUGCAUGUCACCUGAGGCAGCGUGAAGCCCUCUGUUAUUUUAAAAGAGUCAGAGAGCACCGACUGCUGGUUGGGAGCUUUGUUAAGUGGAGGGACAAACUCUGGAGAGCUGAACAGGUGCCAGGAGGGAGAAAGCACAAGUGGCAGGAGCCCUCUCCAGGUAAAGCCUGUCACCGCUGGCGAGUGGCUGCGAGAGGACAGCGAGCCCUGCGCCUGGGAUCUGUGACCACUGUCAAACAAGCCUGCAACUACUGGACCAGAGCAGCUGCUUUUUCCCAGUGCUCACGGCAGCGCAGCACCCUCAUAGGUGUCAGGAAAAGCAGAAAGAUGGCUCUCUCUUGGCCCACCAAAAGCAGAAGAGGCAGAGAAGAAGAUUCAGCACCAACUGGACAUUUUCCCAGUGCCAUUCAGCGCUGGCUGGUGAUCUACAGGAGUCAAAACAGGGCUGAGAGGUUUCUGGAGAGACCUGAUGUGGUCGGAGCCUCUCAUGCUCAUGCAAGGAUCCAGGAGAACACAGCAGGGGUGGACUUGGAGGAGUGGGCUAAGAAGUGGCUUGGGAGGAGAUACCUGAAGAGGUGGCAGCACACAGUGGAACUGCACCGGUGCCAGCACGACAGGAAACUGCUGUGCCUGGCAAGGGGGUGGCACCAGUGGAGGGAAGGCAGCAGGGUGGUGAUGCUGGCUCAGGUGCUGCACCAGCAGCGGCUGAUGGAGAAGGCCUGGAGGGUGUGGAGACAAAGAUACUUGCAAAGCUGUGUGGUGCAGAAUCUUCUGGAGCAGGAAGCCAGGAGCCUCCUGUCUCAGGCCUUUGGGAGGUGGUGGCAGCUCACAGCAUUCCAGUGUAAGGACAAAGGAUCCCGCUGAAUGCAGGGGCCUGCCUGCAGCUGCUGCUCCAUUCAGGACAUGGGGAGGAUCCAGCUCCUGUCACAACAAAGAGGUGGUCCUGUGCUGCCAAAAAAGAACUCUCUGCUCUUACAAUAAAAGCAGGGCUGCCAGUCGAAAGGAUGACA
rnacentral:lncRNA from 1 species